rnacentral:rRNA from 1 species
UCCGGGGUGUAAAUUGUAUAAUACCAGAGUACUACGAGCUGUGUUGCUUAAAACUCAAAGGACUUGGCGGUGCCACUAUCCAGUUAGGGGAGCUUGUUCCAUAAUCGACGAUCCACGAAGAACCUUUCCCUGAAAGGCAAUUCAGUUUGUAUACCGUCGUCGUCAGUUAACUCUAAAGGAGUAAAGCAGUUAGCGGGAGAAAGCAUGGUUUUUCACGUCAGAUCAAGGUGCAGCCGAUUUUAGGGUGAGAAUGAGCUACAAUUAAGAUUUAUAAAACGAAUUCGGACCUGAAAAGGUUUAGUUGAAGGCGGACUUAAAAGUAACACACUAAAGAGAGAGUGUGUGAAUAGAGUUCAGAGGUGUGUACAUAUCGCCCGUCGCUCUCGUUGAAAAAUGAGAUAAGUCGUAACAUAGUAGGGGUAAUGGAAAUUGCCCCUGGUG